rnacentral:ncRNA from 1 species
AAGUACCGUGAGGGAAGUUGAAAAGAACUUUGAAGAGAGAUGUUCAUAAGAACGUGAAACCGCUCGGUUGUAAACGGACAGAGCUCGCGAAUCCCCGCCGGGCGAAUUCACGGUCGGUCUAACCGCCGGCCGGAUCUUUCGCUCGGUUAGCGGACGUCGCGACCCGUUGGGCGCCGGCCGAAUGGCCCGGGUGACGUUCGUCGCGUCGGUCGCGUUUCGGCGUGACCGUUCGCGCCGAGCCCCGGUGCUCAUGGUCGGCUCGCCCGACGGCAAGAACCGUCGACGCGGCCCCGUCGCAGGCGGGGUCCCGUCGGUCGGCGACGUGUUUCGAGCUACUUUCCGACCCGUCUUGAAACACGGACCAAGGAGUCUAACGUGUGCGCGAGUCAACGGUGAUCUUACGAAAAACCACGUUUGGCGCAAUGAAAGUGAACCGUUUACGGUGCGGACGAUGGCCUAGCGACCGAACCCACCGGCGUUCAAAGUCGCGCUGGUCCGCAGUCCGGGGGCGUCUCCGCCAAGUCGGCUUCGGCCGGCUGGGGGCGCACCCUUAGCGCACACGUUGGUACCCGAAAGAUGGUGAACUAUGCCUGGCCAGGAUGAAGUCAGGGGAAACCCUGAUGGAGGUCCGCAGCGAUUCUGACGUGCAAAUCGAUCGUCUGAGCUGGGUAUAGGGGCGAAAGACUAAUCGAACCAUCUAGUAGCUGGUUCCAUCCGAAGUUUCCCUCAGAUAGCUGGCGCCGAUGUGUCCCGCCCGUUCGCGGGCGUACGGACGCCGGUGGGACUCCGCGCUGUACGGCGCGGUAACAACACGCUCGUAACACGGAGGAUG